CCUACGGGAGGCAGCAGUGAGGAAUAUUGGUCAAUGGGCGCGAGUCUGAACCAGCCAAGUAGCGUGAAGGAUGACUGCCCUAUGGGUUGUAAACUUCUUUUAUAUGGGAAUAAAGUGUAGUACGUGUACUGUUUUGUAUGUACCUUAUGAAUAAGGAUCGGCUAACUCCGUGCCAGCAGCCGCGGUAAUACGGAGGAGCCGAGCGUUAUCCGGAUUUAUUGGGUUUAAAGGGAGCGUAGGCGGGUUGUUAAGUCAGUUGUGAAAGUUUGCGGCUCAACCGUAAAAUUGCAGUUGAUACUGGCAGCCUUGAGUACAGUAGAGGUAGGCGGAAUUCGUGGUGUAGCGGUGAAAUGCUUAGAUAUCACGAAGAACUCCGAUUGCGAAGGCAGCCUGCUGGACUGUAACUGACGCUGAGGCUCGAAAGUGUGGGUAUCAAACAGGAUUAGAUACCCUUGUAGUC
rnacentral:rRNA from 1 species